rnacentral:rRNA from 1 species
AGUGAACGCUGGCGGUAGGCCUAACACAUGCAAGUCGAACGGCAGCACAGUAAGAGCUUGCUCUUACGGGUGGCGAGUGGCGGACGGGUGAGGAAUACAUCGGAAUCUACUUUUUCGUGGGGGAUAACGUAGGGAAACUUACGCUCAUACCGCAUACGACCUACGGGUGAAAGCAGGGGAUCUUCGGACCUUGCGCGAUUGAAUGAGCCGAUGUCGGAUUAGCUAGUUGGCGGGGUAAAGGCCCACCAAGGCGACGAUCCGUAGCUGGUCUGAGAGGAUGAUCAGCCACACUGGAACUGAGACACGGUCCGGACUCCUACGGGAGGCAGCAGUGGGGAAUAUUGGACAAUGGGCGGAAGCCUGAUCCAGCCAUACCGCGUGGGUGAAGAAGGCCGUCGGGUUGUAAAGCCCUUUUGUUGGGAAAGAAAAGCAGCAGGUUAAUACCCCGCUGUUCUGACGGUACCCAAAGAAUAAGCACCGGCUAACUUCGGG